CUUAGUCUCAAUAUUGAGUGCUUUGAAAUGAAUAACUUUCCAAGUAUUUAUUAUAAGAAAUUGAAAGUCCAAGUUAAUUUUGAGUACUGUUAUUAAGCAAACAUGUGCAAAUAAUUUAAUUUUUAAAACCUAUGGAAGCUCACAUAAAGGUUAAGAUAAGUUUGAAAAUCAUUAACUUGCAUAAAAGGCAAAUGGCACUUUGGGAUUUAGUAUUAUAAGCAAGAUUUCAUUUUAAUUUAUCCUAUUUUCCUAAGAAUAGCAAUGUUAUUGAUUUAUUCUGAGAGAGUUCCCCCCACACACAGUGAUUUUUUUUUUUUACUGUGGUAGGUAAUAAAAAGGAUUACAGGCCCCCAGAAGGAUGAGAUAUCAUCAGUUUGUAAUCCAGCCCAUGGUUUCCUAGAUACCGUAUUGUCUAUUCUGUUCCGCUAUGUGAAAAAUGUUGAAUAUCAACAAUGGGUUUCAGUGCUGUAUUGUUGAGUUUUGUAUGAACUAAUCUAGCUUCACUAAGAAAAAAAAAGAAAGAAAAGAAAAGAAAGAGAGAAGAAAAAAAGGAAAAAAAAAAAAAGAACCACAGCUUUGCACAAAAGUCUAUAGCCAGUGCAUUUGAAACUCCCCUUGCACAAGGGCUGACUGUGGCCGGGGGAAGACAGUUUACUCAGUUGCUCUCUCCUUUCAUACAGUCAGCUGGUCCCUCUUCUCAGGUGUAGAUCACCUAUUACCACUUCACCUGUUUUGAUUCUCUGAUGAGGAAAGUCCCAGGACUUAUCAGCUGGGAUAGGCCUCAUUCACAAGACACCUCUGUAUUUGGAAGAAAGCCUGACAGGUUUCUCCGGAAAAGUGGCCAUCCAUGGAAUGAAUGAAAUGUUCCCUUUCUAUUCCACUAGCAAAAAGACCUCAGGAAGAGUGAUCCUUACCCCACCAUCAAGUCACUUAUGACUGAUUCUUACUUCUGAUUCCACCAAGAUUAAACCAGAGACUUACAGAGGAGCUGGCAAACCUUUUCUAUUCACCCCGAGCUAACAUCUGCACCAGUUCUUCCUCUACUUUGUCUGUGGGAUGCCUCCACAGCAUGGCUGAUGAGUGGAGAAGGUCUGCACCGAGGAUCUGAACCAGAAAAUCCCUGCUGCCAAAGUGGAGCGUGGGGACAUUUAACUAUUCGGCCGUGCAAUAAUAAUUUUUGAUCAGGCUAACAUGAAUUGUGUGUUUAUUGGUGGAAAGGAUGAAGAAAGCAAGUUACUUUAAACCUGUUGUCUCCAAUUUUCAAAAACUAUCCUCUGGGAUCAGACAUACUUUUCUCCAGGCAAUGUGCUGCCCUGGGGGUUCUCUAGUCGAGUGGGCUGAGCCUUCCAGGUCAAUACAAUGGAAUCUGCACUUGUCACUUCCAGGGGUGUCACUUCUUAGUUCCUGAGACAAAAUCACCAUCAAACAUGAACCCACAACCAAACCAUGAUCCUAUCAAAUACCCUGUCACUAUUUCUUUUCUCUCUCGUAUUCUUUUUUGUCUUUCCUUAUUUUUGUAGAUGAAAUCGGGUUAAAAUGGGCAUCAGGAGGAAAACAAAGGCACUAUAGCAAGAUAACGCUACCCUCUCGACUGGUGGGGGUGUUAAAUGGGACCCCAAGUAUCGAAUGACCCCCUUAAUCCUAUAGCUACAAUCAAAACUAGAACUGCAAUGUGGGUCUCCUGAUUCCUUCUGGUGCAGAGUCUCUUACUGGACGACACUAAGUAACACUCAAGCUGAGGGGCCUGGUGUCUAACGACACAGAGGUUUUGCCUUAGGGAUAGUGCUGGGUAGAGGUGAAGGUAGGGUGAAGAGAUAGGGGUGUGGGCUGAUUGUGGACAUGUAAGCUUAACACCAGCAGUCAGAGACACUUUCUUUUCCCUUCACCGUGUUUUCCUGAGAAUGAUGAGUCAACAGUUCCAGUGUGGUAGACUCCAAAAUACCAUACCCUGAGGAAGGUUCAUAUCUAUGAGUGAAAAGACAAGUACAGGGAGAGAAAGGGCGAUAGAUGUUUUCUCUCUUCCUCUUAACUGCAAUUUUUUGAAAGACAUCUAAGAUUGGAUCAAGGCAUAGACAACCACCUCCCAGUAUGAUUUGAGGAAAACAGUCUUCCUGCCUCUAAAAUGUGUCCUCUAGUGACUUGCUGAAGUGCUUGAUAUACCCACAUUAAAGAGUCUUUACUUUGGGACAAAGAAUUAUUUACAUAUUCAAUAUUGAAGAAAUAUUUAUUAAGAACUUAAUAAAAAAUAAAUAAAGGGUCUGGCCUGGUGGCAUAGUGGUUAAGUUCACACACUCUGCUUUAGCAUCCCAGCAUUCACAAGUUUAGAUCCCAGGGGUGGAUCUACACAGCACUCAUCAAGCCAUGCUGUGGUGGUAUCCCACAUACAAAAUAGAGGAAGAUUGACACAGAUGUUGGCUCAAGGCUAAUCUUCCUCACAAAGGAAAAGAAAGAACUUAAGUGCCAAACACUGUUCAUGGUGCUCUCCCCCCUGAAAAAAGUGAAGAAUGAAUAAUAAACAGUCUCCAUCCUAAAGGCACUUAAAAUCCACAUGGGAAACAAGAUAAUUUAAAGAAAAAUUGAUGUGUUAGCACAGGGUUAGGAUGUUUUUGUCAAGCACUCAGGAGACCUGAAGGGCAAGUGGCAGGCAAAACAGGAAAGGAGAAGAGAAAGGUGAGACAUACGAAACAGUGGGCAUAGGAAUGGUGGGCCCCAAAGCUGGAAAGAAGUGGUAAGAGGUGGAGAGAAAGAGAGUUACAAGGUGGGCAUGAAGGACCCUUUUUAUCCUGAGGAAGAGGAGAGCCCUUGAAGGGG
rnacentral:lncRNA from 1 species